CCUACGGGAGGCAGCAGUGGGGAAUCUUGCGCAAUGGGCGAAAGCCUGACGCAGCCAUGCCGCGUGAAUGAUGAAGGUCUUAGGAUUGUAAAAUUCUUUCACCGGGGACGAUAAUGACGGUACCCGGAGAAGAAGCCCCGGCUAACUUCGUGCCAGCAGCCGCGGUAAUACGAAGGGGGCUAGCGUUGCUCGGAAUUACUGGGCGUAAAGGGAGCGUAGGCGGAUAGUUUAGUCAGAGGUGAAAGCCCAGGGCUCAACCUUGGAAUUGCCUUUGAUACUGGCUAUCUUGAGUAUGGGAGAGGUUAGCGGAACUCCGAGUGUAGAGGUGAAAUUCGUAGAUAUUCGGAAGAACACCAGUGGCGAAGGCGGCUAACUGGCCCAUUACUGACGCUGAGGCUCGAAAGCGUGGGGAGCAAACAGGAUUAGAUACCCUGGUAGUCCACGCCGUAAACGAUGAGUGCUAGUUGUCGGCAUGCAUGCAUGUCGGUGACGCGAGCGUAACGACAUAAGUACACUCCGCCGUCGGGAGGUACGGUCGCGAGAUAAACUACGAAGAAGUAGACGCGNGAGACGNGCGACGACGACGACGAGGGAGAGG
rnacentral:rRNA from 1 species